GUCAAAUUAAAUAAAUAAAGUUUCUCAUGGCAUUUUAGUUUAACUAUGCAACAAUUUAAAGCAAUUUAUCUAGAAAAUUAUACACAAGUGGAAGGCACUGUCUCUUCCAAAAAGAAAAAUCAACUCUCCGGGUCGAGCAUUUUCCUCUCAGCUUAGCUCAAAGGCUUUCCUAGUCAGGAUAAAUGUGCCCAAUGUCAGUAGCUCUUACCCGGUGAUUGGCAUAUGGUUAGCCAUGUGACACAGCCAGCAUGAUGGUGAGAUCAGCUUAAUCAACAAGCCAUAAAGACUCAUCUCAUUCACACCAAGCAAUGAAUGCCCUCUGUUAUUUAAUUCUUAGAUCUAUUUCUGUGUGUGAAAACAAUCAGCUUGAUUGCAAAGACAGUGGUGGAGUUGCAGCAAUGAUGACAACAGGUUUUCUCAUGCUCUUACUGGGGAGUUAUGUUACUUUGUACAAAGGAAAUAAAGCAAAAAGUAUUUCUAAUCUGCAUAACGUAUGAGGAUUAUGUUUGCGUUAAGAUUUUCAUGAAGGGGGGGGGUUGUUGCACACUGAAAAGCAGGAAGCGGUAGGCUGCAAUGCAAAAAAGGAGUUGAGGCAACAGAACAUUGUUCUGAAUUUAUCCUGAAACAGGUGUGGAGCUCUGACCCCAGCAUGCGCAGCUUCUACCAGGUUAAAACGUACGGUUUAGGUUGUGUUGUACUUGUUUCAGUGUUUACCAGUGCAGAAAGUACAGUGAAAGAGGCUUAUAGCCAUCCGUUCUUAACGAAGCUUUGCACACAGAACAAUGACCCAGCUGUGUGUGUGUUUCUCUUUCAAGCGACUCGGCAUACGGAAAACCCUGCAAACAGGUGGUCUUUGUCCAGCCAAAGUCACACCAAGUUUCCGAGAUGUCGUGGCGAGACAACAACAAUCUCACACGUGCAAAAACAUAAAGCCCCACGAGGGAAGGAAGAAAUUAAAAAAAUGACCUCCAACGACCCUUUGUAUCAGGGCACAGCCACACAAGGCUCAUAUCUGAGGUUAUAUUAACAUUCAGCAGAAGGAGUAACAGAUUGCUGUAGGUGUAAAGAAGCCUUUCGCAUGCAAUGAUCACAAAUUACACUUAGAUUAAAUUUAUAAAGAGCAAAAUUAAUCUUAGAAGAUUUUUCUGUUUCCCAUUUACAAAGCAGAACAGUCUGUCUUCAUCUGUUUCUCCCCAAUCGAUCAGUUUAGAAGGUUUCUGAAUUUCUUCUAUUUAGGAAUGAUGGAGGCGACCGAGGUCAUUGGGACCUUAACCGCCUGUUAUGAAUCAAAUUGAUCCAUUUGAAAGUUUAAAAAUAUUUUU